UCCCCGGUGGCGCAAUGGUAGCGCAACUCCCUGUUAAGGAGUGGGUUGUAGGUUCGAAUCCUACCCGGGGAGCCA
rnacentral:tRNA from 1 species